AAUUCUCAACCUUCAACUUUAUUGUUGGAGGCUUGGACUUGGAGGUCGUGCUGGCUCUCGUAGUCGGCUCCUCUGAAAUGUAUUAGCGUGAACGUUACGGAUCGCUUCAGUGUGAUAAUUAUCCGCGCUGUUGUGUUGAAGUAUAGUAAGCUUGCGCUUCUAAUCGUCCUCACGGACACUAUAUUGACA
rnacentral:misc_RNA from 1 species